UAGAAAAAUGGAUGGAGACAUAAUAAAAAGUACUGGGACGAAGGUAAUAUCAGAGAACAAAACACAUACAAAGUUACGUCAUGGUUAGAAGAGUCUAAAAUAAGGUUGGAUAGAUAAAAGUGGUGGUUUCGUAAGAAAAUUGUACCCCGAGUGCCGACAGCGCAUGCGCGAGAUAACGUUCGGAGAAAAUAAACAUGGCGACUAGUGUAUUCAUCGAAAUGUAAUAUAAACCGUGUCGAAUGAAACGUAAAGAAAAUUCAGAAAUCUUAUCUCGGAUAAUCAAAAAUUAAUCUAGACAACAGACAUCCUCUAAUGUUUUCACUGGCGAAAGAAUACCUCCACGGUACAUGACAUCCUAAAUAAUGGCGUUCUCACUGCAAAUAAUCUCUCUUGAACAAUUGAUUGAUUGGCUACCGCUCGAGUACCGCUGCUCUUGGACGAGAGGAACCUCUUUCGCGUCCGCUGCACCUUUAUUAUUCUUCAUCCAGUCACCACUCUCAAUAAUUUCUUUGAAGAUUUCGCACAGUGGACAAUUUCCCGAAGAAGCCGCAGGGGCUAAUUGAACUCUUGGCCAAGUUUUCGUACUCGAGUGUACUUAAGCAGCGAUCGGGGAUACUUUGGCUACCAGCCGGUAAGGGAGAAAUUAAGACGAUCUUAGAUAUGCUUUCAGCCGCUAAUCGGAUUGGCGAAACCAAUUAAAUCAACUUGGAUAAGUACCUGUUACGAAACAGCAUCGGCAACGAUAGGUACUCUCUUACUCAAAUCCUGACCCAGCAUUCAUAUGGAAGGACGAGAACCAUUCCUGAGACGCAUAACUGAAUUCGGAGAAAUUGAAUAAUACAAGGUAUAUGAAAUUCAAGUGGAUCUGAACUGCUGAUGAUAUAAUUCUACAGGCUCCCAAAAUACGGAGAGAGGGUGAGAAUUUUCAAAAGGCCAUAUUUACAAGAAGAGCAAAUAUGAGGAAAAUUUAAUAAUGCCCGGAGUACGCAUUUUCACGUGAUUUAUAUAUUAUGGUACGGGCUGAUAUGUGUCCUUGAUAUAAAUCAGGAUAUUGUUACCGUCCAUGAAAAUGGCUAUGUGUCAGUAAGAAUUACCUGAGAUUUGAGCUACGACGAGGAUCCGUUUUCGUAUAUCAGUUGGCACUUGCUGGCGUUGAUUUUGAAAUAUCUGAUACCGAAGUGAAGGAGCUGUUACGUCACAUGGAAAAAGAAAUGUCUAAGAGGAUUUUCACUGGGACGAAGAUGUUUACGGUGAUGCACCAACUUUGACCGCAUUCAGAAAUCUUCCUGCUAUCCUCGAGAACACCGGAAACUCGAUAACGGCCAUUUUAUAUCGAAUUCCUUUUACGAGUCGUGUCGAGAUUUGACUGAACAUGGAAGCAGUAAAAGGGAUCAGAACGGAAAUUCCUUGGGAUCAAAACUUCGGCAAUUGCAAGACUGUGCAUAGAAAAAUCUUCAAAAAUACAAGAUUUCAAAUUGUCCAAGUGGAUGCUGACUUCGUAGAGGUCGAAUGGGUAUUGGCAAUGGAAUUAUAAUAUGGAGGAUAAAUUUAAGUGGAAAAAGUAUGCAGAUUAUCAGACGACCGUUCUAUUUCUUAACGAGGAAUAUGGAUCUUCUUCUCAUUAAUCGAUUCUCUGCUCCCCGGACUCCUGGUGCUCUGCGACGACAUCCUAGCAGCCAACAAACCCUGCUCACACGACCGCCCUAAAUGCUAAUAACGAAAAGUUGUACGGUGCGCCCAGGAACAAGCUUCUGGGUAAUGAAACAGAUUAAUCAGAGAAGCCCAGAGAGUGAUGCCGCAAGGUGGAAGGAAGGAAGGAAGGAAAGAGGAAGGCAUACCCAUUCUGGUCGGAGGAGAAACUUAGAAUCAGUCUGGGAAACCAAGGAACGUAAAGGAGAAUAGUCUACAUUGACGUGAUAAGACCUUAGCAAGUUCACUGAUAAGUAGAUUAAGUGAUAUAGUUAUACGUGUCUGUUGAGAAAUUCAGAAUGGAGUAGUGCAAUAGUAUUAUUAUUAUAUAUAAUUAUACAUAUAUGUAUAAUAUUUAAUACGAUUAUAAUCGUGAUUAAGUUAAUAUUCUUCUCAGUCAGAUAUAAUAUCGAAUCAGUUCUGUUCAAAUUUCUCGCUUUUAAUCAUGGUUGGUAAUUUGCAAGAGUUUACAUAUGUAAACCCAUAGGAACUUAUAGGAGCUUAGAUUGAGGGGAGCAUAUAAAUAUGCAGAGUUUUAGUCGAGCAUUAACAUACUCUAUGCACGUUUGGUAUUAUAUUCAUGAAUAAAUGAAAUGGUCAUAUUACCAACAUCCAUUGUACGUCAGGUUGUUUAUUAAGAAUCAAUAUUGUAAAAUCGAAUUAAAAAUCAAGCUGAGAAUUGAAGAUGACACUAAACUGUAAUUGUUGAUGAGAUUUCCUGGAAUUUCGUAUAAAUUUAGUACAGUGUCUGUUUUCUGGCAACAGAUAUUCUGCCAAGUAAAAUAGAGGAUGAAAAGGUCCGGCUAAAGAAAGGCCAAGGAGUAUCAGGCGUCUGCUGAUCAUUAAUACUUAUUUAUACUUCAGGUUAACUUAAAUUGCAAAAGAGUAACGCUUCUGUUAUUCCCACCACAGAGUGACUUAAUCAUAGCCGAAAUUUAUCUGGCCGUGGAUGGGCAGAGUGGCAUAAAAAGGAGAAAGAAGCGCCACUUCCUCUGUGGAGAUGAUGAACCGUCGACGCGGGAUGAAAUGGGAGGCUGGAAGCUGGGCUGAAUCUCGUUAAACAGCCGGAACUUCGAAUGCGUACAAGAAAAUCGCACGUUGCUCAUCGAUCCGUCCGAAGGAGGGACAAUAUUUUUCCAUCGCUGGCUUCAUGGGAACGAAGAGAGAAGAAAAAAGAAAGAGAAAAAAGUGGGAGCAGGAAUAAUGGGAUAGAUACAUGUUUCUAUAUGUAUAUAUAAAUAUAUAAGCGUAUGUAGAACACGACGUUAUUCUUGAAGAUGACGAAACGAAGAUACAAGCCGCUGGGAUGCUGAGGGGGUGUGUAAGGGGUAGCUAUGGGCUUAAAAAAAUAAAAUGGACCAACAUCCGUCGGCAGUCGGGAGAUAAACAUUGGGGCAAGAAGUGCCAUGCGGCGUCCAGAAUCCAGGAACGUGGUCGUACGUGAGUCACCCUUAAUCCAAUGUACACAAGGGGAUUGGUCCAUGGUAUGGAUGGAGCCUUGCAAGGAAGCCAUCUUCUGGUACAUUGCGAAACCGAUUGCGUCGCUAGACACUUGGUGCUGUUGGACGUCUGCAAGAUGAUACGUGAUUCGGAAGCUGCGGAGGACGGUUGGAUGAUUUACAAAAAAAGUACCGUUAGCCAAUAUUGUUCAAAGGACUAUUCAAAUUUGUUCUUUUGAUUAUAGGCGAUUUGGAAGCUGGCGAAGAG